GGAUUAGAAACCCGGGUAGUCCAUGCCGUAAACGUUGGGAACUAGAUGUGGGGACCAUUCCACGGUCUCCGUGUCGUAGCUAACGCAUUAAGUUCCCCGCCUGGGGAGUACGGCCGCAAGGCUAAAACUCAAAGGAAUUGACGGGGGCCCGCACAAGCGGCGGAGCAUGCGGAUUAAUUCGAUGCAACGCGAAGAACCUUACCAAGGCUUGACAGGUAUACGGAGAACGCACUGGAGACAGUGAACUCUUUGGACACUCGUAUACAGGUGGUGCAUGGUUGUCGUCAGCUCGUGUCGUGAGAUGUUGGGUUAAGUCCCGCAACGAGCGCAACCCUCGUCCUAUGUUGCCAGCACGUAAUGGUGGGAACUCAUGGGAUACUGCCGGGGUCAA
rnacentral:rRNA from 1 species